CCUUUUUACAUUUUUAAAUUAACUUAUGGUUGAGAGGAGACUUUUUAACUUUUUAAACCUUUAUUUUACAAUCAAAUUUUAACCUUUUAAACCUUUAUUUUACAAUCAAAUUUUAACCUUUUAAAACUUUAUUUUACAAUCAAAUUUUAAAAUUUUAAACCUUUAUUUUACAAUCAAAUUUUAACCUUUUAAACCUUUAUUUUACAAUCAAAUUUUAAAGAUGAGUUAAGGGAAGGCCUUUUACAUUUUAAUUUUUUAAUUGUUUUGAACUUUUAUUUUGAAUUUUUUUGAAUGUCAUAAUCACCAGGCGAGAACAGAAAACAGAUGAGGUAAGUUGCUCGUCAUGAAACAUGUUUUUUCCUUUCUUUCUAAAGAGAGUAAAUGCUGCUAUUUCACUCCUUUGUAUUUUAACAGUUUUUAUCUGGCGAAAGCAGUUCAUCCCAGAAUGGAGGCCAGAGGUAGGCAUGACAUAUCACCUUAUUGUAAUGUAAUUAUAAAAUUGUAACAUGUUGUAAUUUAUAGUUAAGCUUGUGUAAGCCCUCUGUACAAUCAUACAUUUUCAAUCAACUUUGCUGGAUUGUCCUUUUUUCUCCACAAAGACCUUGAGCAUGCAAAAACAUUCAUCAUGGACGAAUGACUCCCAAGCAGACUCAAGGCACGCCACCCCUACAACAUGGCAGCACAAGAGAUGCUCAAUUCCAUCCCUGAAGACAUCUCCAGAGAUGCCUGGCUGGCAGCAGCUUGGAAGCAGGAGUGGGAGGCAGCUGGCCCCUCCCUCAUGCACAGUUAUGUCUGGGAACCAGGAGACGGCGCCAUAGGAGGAGACGAACUACCUCGCCAGCAGUGGACCACACUGAACCGCUUAAGAACUGGUGUUGGGCGCUUCAACAUGUCUAGUGGGGUCUGGCGGACAGUGCGGCAUGCGAGUGCGGAGCCCUCGAGCAGACAGCCGACCACACCAUCAACACCUACACCAACAUAUAGACCACCCUCAGAGGCCGGCCUCUUCGACCUGGGACCAGAGAUGCUGGCGUGGCUCCACGACACCAAGUUGGAGCGCUGACGUUACACGAGAGAGAGAGAGAGAGAGAGAGAGAGAGAGAGAGAGAGAGAGAGAGACUCCCAAACCAGGGUGGCAAGAAGCAGGACUUCUCAUUCCUCUUUUUCUAUGUUGCGUGUGGCUCCACAUGCUCCAUUUGUCUAGACCAUUUGUUUGGCCAACUUGGUACUCAGCCUUGAUGAGACCUGGCCUGUCUCGCCAAAAAAAUGACCGACAUUUUAAGAAGAUCCAUGGGACCAGUGUUAUUCUCCUUUUCUAUUGACUCCAAGCAACAGCACAGGGAGAGCCAAGACUUUCCAAAAGACCUGUACAACGGAGGCCAGCAUCAUGAAACACAAACUCCCAAACCAGCACGGUAACAUGAAACACAAACUCCCAAACCAGCAUGGUAACACACAGGACUUCUUCUGAUUCUUCUUAUGUUCUUGGGUCUUGCCUGUGGUUCUACACGCAUCCAGAAAUGCAGACAAAGAACAGCUUGGCCUUUAACAGUCGGAAGCCUCUGAUUUUACUCUACUAAGCCUCAGAUACAGUCUGUUUUCUGUUCUCAUUCAGUCAUUCAUUCAUUCAUUCAUUUAUUCAUUUAUUUAUUUAUUUAUUUAUUUAUUUAUUUAUUUAUUUAUUUAUUUAUUUAUUUAUUUAUUUAUUUAUUUAUUUAUUAUAUUUUUUGCCUCAAAUUAUGUUUGCAUUAUCUUUUGUAUAACAGCGUCUUCAAUCAUGUUGCACUUAAACUCUUAAAAAAUAACACUGAAAUUAACAUAACAUCCAUCCAUCCAUUCAUUCUCUGAACCGCUUAGUCCCCACGCGGGCCGCAGGUGUGCUGGAUCCUAUCCCAGCCGUCAUCGGGCAGUAGGUGGGGGACGCCCUGAACCGGUUGCCAGCCAAUCGCAGGGCACACAGCGAUUAUUAUCUAUUGAAUCAGUAAAAUACUUGAUAUGUUUUUAUUUGUUAUGUCUUCAGCGUUUUUGAAAGUUAUUUAUAUUAUUUCUUGCAUUACUUCUUUGACUCAAUUAAAAAAACUGUAUUUUGUCCCAAAAGGCACUAUUUUUUUCCUUCUCUU